CCUACGGGUGGCAGCAGUGGGGAAUAUUGCACAAUGGGGGAAACCCUGAAGCAGAGACGCCGCGUGAAGGAAGAAUGAUUUCGGUAUGUAAAACUCUUUCAACAGAGAAGAAAAUGACGGUACCUGAUUCAUAAUCCCCGGCUAACUACGUGCCAGCAGCCGCGGUAAUACGUAGGGGGCAAGCGUUAUCCGGAUUUACUGGGUGUAAAGGGAGCGUAGACGGUAGGGCAAGUCUGACGUGAAAUGCUGGGGCUUAACCCUGGAACUGCAUUUGAAACUGGUAAUCUAGAGUGCAGGAGAGGUAAGUGGAAUUCUUGGUGUAGCGGUGAAAUGCGUAGAUAUUACGAGGAACACCGAUGGCGAAGGCGGCCUACUAGACUGUCACUGACGUUGAGGCUCGAAAGCGUGGGGAGCAAACAGGAUUAGAUACCCGGGUAGUC
rnacentral:rRNA from 1 species